rnacentral:rRNA from 1 species
UGUGGGUAGCGGUGAAAUUCCAAUCGAGCCCGGAGAUAGCUGGUUCUCCCCGAAAUAGCUUUAGGGCUAGCCUCAAGGUGAGAGAUACGGAGGUAGAGCACUGAAUGUCCUAGGGGGUAUUGCACCUACCGAAGACUAUCAAACUCCGAAUGCCGUCAUCUUAUACUUGGGAGUCAGACUGUGGGUGAUAAGAUUCAUAGUCGAAAGGGCAACAGCCCAGAUCGUCAGCUAAGGUCCCUAAAUGUAAGUUAAGUGGUAAAGGAUGUGGGAUUGCACAGACAACCAGGAUGUUGGCUUAGAAGCAGCCACUCAUUCAAAGAGUGCGUAAUAGCUCACUGGUCGAGUGAUCCUGCGCCGAAGAUUUCCGGGGCUAAAACUUACUACCGAAGCUACGGCAUCAGUAAUGAUGGGUAGGGGAGCUUCCCAUACGGGUUGAAGCAUGACCGUAAGGACAUGUGGACAGUAUGGGAGUGAGAAUGUUGGCAUGAGUAGCGAGAUGUGGGUGAGAAUCCCACAGGCCGUAAACCCAAGGUUUCCAGGGGAAGGUUCGUCCGCCAUGGGUUAGUCGGGACCUAAGCUGAGGCCGAAAGGCGUAGGUGAUGGACAACAGGUUGAUAUUCCUGUACUACCGAUAACCGUUUGAGAGAAGGGAUGACACAGUAGGAUAAGCUAAGCACACUGUUG